GACGAACGCUGGCGGCGUGCUUAACACAUGCAAGUCGAACGGAAAGGCCCUGCUUUUGUGGGGUGCUCGAGUGGCGAACGGGUGAGUAACACGUGAGUAACCUGCCCUUGACUUUGGGAUAACUUCAGGAAACUGGGGCUAAUACCGGAUAGGAGCUCCUGCUGCAUGGUGGGGGUGGGAAAGUUUCGGCGGUUGGGGAUGGACUCGCGGCUUAUCAGCUUGUUGGUGGGGGAGUGGCUUACCAAGGCUUUGACGGGUAGCCGGCCUGAGAGGGUGACCGGCCACAUUGAGACUGAGGUACGGCACAGACGGCUACGGGAGGCAGCAGUGGGGAAUAUUGCACAAUGGGCGGAGGCCUGAUGCAGCAGCGCCGCGUGCGGGAUGACGGCCUUCGGGUUGUAAACCGCUUUCGCCUGUGACGAAGCGUGAGUGACGGUAAUGGGUAAAGAAGCACCGGCUAACUACGUG
rnacentral:rRNA from 1 species